UCAGGACUUGAGCAGAAGACCGAACUUA
rnacentral:piRNA from 1 species